GCGGGCGGUCCGCCGCCCGUGACUCGGCGAGAAGUCCAUUGAACCUUAUCAUUUAGAGGAAGGAGAAGUCGUAACAAGGUUUCCGUAGGUGAACCUGCGGAAGGAUCAUUG
rnacentral:rRNA from 1 species